CUGCUCUGUCAGUCAGCGGCGGCGGGGGCGGCGGGGGCGGCGGCACAUCACACCCGCCGGCGACCGGAGGAGGAAAGCGAGCCACGCAGGGAGGGAGCGAGCGAGGUGGGGGGGAAGGAACGAGCGAGGGAGGGCACGCAGCUCGGCUCGGACUCGGUCCCCGCACUACUGCCGGUGCUUCCUACCGCCGCCUCUGGCCGGAGAGUCGCCGCCCGGGUCGCUGCUGUCGCCACCGAUGCAGCCGGGAAUGAAUGCACAGCAGCGCCUCGCUUAACCGGAGGUCAAACAUCCUUCUGCCUCGGGCAUCCGGAUCGGCGCCGGACCCGGAAGUGAACACAGGGGAAAAAAAAAAAGGAAAGCGUCUCUCUAGCGGCGGUGGCCCCCAAGCUCCCGCAUCGACGAAAAGAGCCGAGUGGAGCCGAAGAUUACACCGACCUGCUCGGAUUGGCCGGCUCGCCGACCGGAAGAAACGCGGCGCGUUCAUUGGCUGGUCAGGCCUAUAAAAGCCAAGCCCCUCCUCCAUCCCCCACCUCCGCACGAGUGGUGCGUGAGGGGGAACGCGGAGUAAUAGUGGAAACGGGUCAACUACCUAGAAGAAAGAUACAAUCAACAAAAAGUAAAUGCUCAAGUAGAAACAAGGAGGAUACAAAAUGAAACAUUGUCAUAACAGCAAGAAUGUGGGAGCACAGCAAAGUAUUUUACUACGCCCAGGAAAAUAACCUUUUCUCUGUGAAGCCUACAGUCAAGAGGAGGGGAGGGAAAGAUUCUGGGAGAAAGCCAUUCCCAGACAACAACCAGGUACAAGAAUCACAAAACUUUUCUGAAAGGUUUUGUUGUGCUUUAUAAUUAUAAUCUUAAGUAAUGUGUAAUAAAAAAAAAUCAUAUUAA